GGCGUAAACUGUGUCCAAGGUUGUGUGUCGUGGGCGUGCCCUUUUAUGGAGAGAGCCCCUCUGGCUGCUUCCCGUCAGUCCCUUAAAGGCUCUGGACCAUCAAGAUGUAAAGAACUGUUGUCUCCUCAUGUUCUUGCUCUCACACCUCUGGGCGAGGUUCUUCCGGGUCACCCCGUGCAAAAAAGCAGAGGCAUGCCUGCAUGUAGGGCCAACAACUACCCAGUCCUGCUGGCCCCCUCCCUCUGCCAGGUCUAGCCCCUAAGGGAUCAGACCCCCGUGAGGUCUGAUGGUGCUUGGGAAGCCAACCAGGGCCCUGCGGGAGAGAAGGCUAAGGCACUUGGGGCACCUUCCCCGGCACAGAGCAUGCUCGUAGGCGGUGGUGGCUGCCCCCGUGUCGUCCGCAGGGCUGCGGGAGUGCUAACGUUGUGUGCGCUUGCCCCUGACCCAGGCCCUGGCUGACGCUUUAGUGCGGAGGACAGUGGGGGCCACGGGGACAGGGAGCAGUUCCCAAGUCAUAGAGAGCUGGACCCCGGCACGCACUGCGUGCUGAACAUCAGGCAAGCCCUCAGCUCCUUCCUCUGUCAUGUGGGGAUAAGAACACUGUGUCAAGAAUUGGGAGGGGAGGAGGAGGGGCCGCAGAGUCUCCAAGCAGAGUGCAGGUGUUCUGCAAAGGACUCUGCGAGCCGCACUGGGGUCUUCCCAUGGGUGUUUUCUCCGCCAACCCCGAGGACCCGGAGGAUGAGCCCUUGUGUCUCCCCCAGAAGGCUUUCUUUUCCCUCCGGAUGCCCCAUCUCUACUGGCAGGGAACACUCAGUCUUCCUGGAGGCUGGCUUCACAGACCUUACCCAACACCUUCCAAACUUGCCUGGACCCUUUGUGUGGGGAGUACGACUGAUGGCAUCUCCAAAUAACCCAGGCUGGGAAACACUCUGGUGCCUGUCAUCUCUGGCCUGGAGGACUGCCAGGCAUGGUGACCAGCAGGGAAACUUGCUGACCAGGCCCCUCCCUAGGGACCAGGGGCUCCACGCACCUGCAGGCAAACCACAAUCUGAGCGGGCAGGUUGGGCGUGUGGUUGGGGCAAAUGCCACCUCAGUGGAAGAGGGUCCUGGCCAGUCCCUCACUUGGGAUCUGAAUGUCAUCCUUUUCCUCUUCUGCAGAGACCUGAUUCCAUCUUUCCUUACUCUGAGUUUGUUUUUUUUUACUCCACUUUUCCCUCUUUCCUGACUUGUUUGUUCUCUUUCGUGGAUAAUCUGCUCAGAUCUCUCCCAUCUGUUUACAGGGAAAGCUUUCAUUUGCCUGCAUCCCCUCCAGUCACCAAUGCUCCACCUUUCUCUUUCCUUUUCAGCUAAGCUUUUUGGAGACAUUUAUUUAAGAUGUUUACCUCCAUUCUCUCCUCUUCUGGAGUGGGCGGGGGGGGGGGCGGCUUCUGGCCACCCUAUGUCAUUGAAAUGUCUCUGCCAGUCACCUCGUUGCUGAGUUCAGUGGUUGCUUUCAGUCUUGAUUUUUAAGCAGCGUGUCUUCCUGUUUCCUAUUUUGUUUAGAUUGAAACUCUACUCCCUUGGCUUGUAAGGCAUUACUCCCCUCUAGAUUUCUUUCUUGAGGUCAUCCGGGAGCUCCUUUUCUUACUUUCAUCCUUUCCUUGUUGGUGUUACCCAGACUACGCCCCAGACCUCUUCCCAGGCAAUGUUAUUUAUACUCAUGGCUUUACCUGCCGUGCGCACACCGAUGUCCCCAGGUCUCUCUUUCCAACUCAUAAGCUAAUAAGUUAACCUGUUACUGAUUCCUCGAUGUUGGCAGAAGACACGAGACUCCGGGGUCAGAGACACAGGACUUUAUUACUCAGGCGCACACAGCAUGAGAAGCUGCAUAUUUGCAUCAAUUUCCCUUGCCUCUGAGUUCCCAUGGGGCAGCACGACGGGCCCAGAGGGAUGCUCUGCAAGCAGUGGGUUUGCCUCAUGGGGGAACUUGGGAAUAGAGCUAGGCAAUCCAUUGCUCAUGCAGGAAGCAGGAAGCAAGCCUAGAGGGAGACACGACCUCAUCUUUCAAGGUUGCUCGCCACAAAGACAACACUGAGAAGUGGCCCAGGUAACAAGUGGUCAGGGUCUUGCCCUCUUGGCACACACAGCAAGAUCCAGGGUGCGAAAGACUGGAGGAUUAUCUCUUCCAACGGAUCUACAUCUGGUCAACCAAGUGCAGUUAAUGGUGCUAAGGACGGUGACUGUCAUUUGUGCACAUCCACCGAGUGCUGCCUCAGGCUGUGUUCCUCGUGGAUAUUAUGCUAUGUUGCCCUUUCAACAACGGAGGUCUUUAUCAUUGUCCUGAUUUCACAGGUGCUGCACUGUCCUCAUGCCCUACCCUUCAGCCAUCAUCUCGUACUCGCUUACACCUCUCCAAAGAUGCCAUACUUUGUACCUUUGCACACGCAGCAUGGUCUUUCCAGGACAUCCUUCGCCUCCUUAAGAGACGCCUCAUCAUCCUUGAAGAUCCAGGUAAGGCGUCACCUCCCUUGAACACCCCCGUGCCCUCCUCUGUGUGACUCGAAUUCCCUGUGACCACCACAACAUAGCUUGUACCAUGUUUCUACUGUUCAUUGGCCUGUGGUGUUCCACCCAGAGAUUCCUUCUUCAUCGUCCCUUCUUAUCCUUUAGACUAAACUUGGAUGUCGCUUCCUCGGGGAUGGCCUCUGAGAUUCCCUUGCCUCCCACGGGCUGAAGUUAGGUGUCCAUCUUGCGUGUUCUUCGGGUCUCACUGUCUGCGCCAGACGUAGCUGUAACGACCUAGGCUCACCUCCAGGCCAGGGUGUCCCCCGGUGCCCACAGAGCACGGUGCCUGGCACACGGGAGGAGCUCAGAAAAUACUUGUUGAAUGAGAAAAAACCCAAAACCACACAUGGCCACCUCCAAUGUGUUAGCCUAGUGGCAGGAACUCGCUCCAUGGCAGGCGCUCGAUAAAAUGAUUGAACGAACCACAAAGAGCACUAAAACGGAGGUUGCGUUUAUUGACAGGGAAGCUACUGACGAGCCUCCGGAAAUCAGUUUGCAGAGAAUUAAGGAGAUUGUUCUUUCAAGAAACUUGUGAAUGGGACUGCUAUUUUUGUGGUGGUGGUGAUUUUUAUUUUUUAUUUAUUUUUAUUUUUUAAUUUUCAUUUAUUUUUUAAAUGCAUUUUUAAAAAACA